CUUUUUUUUUUUUUUUUUUUUUUUUGCGAUGGAGUCUCGCUGUGUCACCCAGGCUGGAGUGCAGUGGUGUGAUCUUGGCUCAGUGCAACCUCUGCCUCCCGGGUUCAAACGAUUCUCCUGCCUGAGCCUCCUGAGCAACUGGGACUACAGGUGCCCGCCACCACGCCCAGGUAUUUUUUUUUUUUGUAUUUUUAGUAGAGACGGGGUUUCACCAUGUCAGCCAGGAUGGUCUCAAUCUCCUGACCUCGUAAUUCACCUGCCUAAGCCUCUCAACGUGUUGGGAUUACAGGCGUGAGACACUGCACCCGGCCUGAUGCAUGAUUUCUUUCCCCCGAACUCAGACAUCAGAUCAAGGUCACUGUUAUCUUCCCAAGAACGUGUAAAGUGCCUGACAUACAGUAGGUGCCAGUAAAUAAUUAUUGAAUGAAAGAAUAAACAUAUCAAAAUGGUAUCUACUUUUUAAAGGUUAAAAAAAACUAACAAAUUUUUCUUUACAAUUUGAGAAAAAAAUUCUUGUUUCCUGGAGAGCUAAUGAAAGGAAACACACAUUCACACAUACAAUACUUUUUUUUUUUUUCAAACUUUGGGGAAUGGAUCCAUAGUAAAUACUCCUCCCCAUACAUUCGCCUGCUUCACGAUUUUUUAUUUUUUAAUAUAUUAUCAAAAGUCCUGAGGUGACAUCUCAACUUCUUCUCUACUCAACUUACAGGCAGAGAAAACAAAAGCUCAGCUGGAAGACACUGAAAUGGAGGCACCUACUUUCAAGCCCAGACUUUAAGAGAGAGAUCCCUGCAUGGUGACAGUGGCCACUCUCCUGUCCUGCUGGCAGAUGAAACCUCCCAAAUCCUCCCAAAGUGCUGCAGCAUCCACGUGCAGAAGGGUAUUUGCAUUCACUUGGUGCCUCAUUGUAAGGAAGGACACCAUUGACAGCACAUAACAUCACUAUUAUUAUUGCUAAACAGAUGGAAAAUAAUUGUUUAUGGAAUUUGUGUUUUAAUCGCAUUAAUGUCUUUGGCAGGAAGAUCCACCUAAGUACACAAUUCAAAGCCUGCCUUUGAUCUGGGCCCCUUGGGGGCAUUUUCCAUGACUGAUAAAAUGCUCCUCUGAGUUCAUAGGCAAAUGAUGAAAAUGAUAAAAAGACAAAAGUCAGGCACCAACCUCCCAUUUGGAUAUUUUGUCUCCUUGGAGAAUCACAAGCUCACCAGGCUUGCAGUCAUGCUGACGAUACAACACAUCUCACCCUGUUAUACCCACCCAGGGCUCAAUAUGAACGCCUUCGUCGCUCUCCUCCCUUCUUUUCCAGUUCCCUCCUCCCCUUUGCACACAAACACACACAUGCUUGAUGCAAGAAUUCAUGUGCUCUCUCUUUUCAAAGAUUCUUACUGCCUUUUUAUAUGGGCCAGUUUAGAUGCUUAUAAAGUAUUUCUCAAUAAUAGCCCUUACACAUAUUUUCCCCUUUCAUCCAUCACGCAUUUCUUGGUUAGCAUUAUAUUGUGACAAGAUAGAAAUCAAAAGCAUUGCUUUUAAUGAAAAUGAACGUUCUAGUUCGGAAACAGUUUGUCUUCUAAAUAUUCUGCCAUAAAUCAGGCUGAGUGCAGUGUAAUCAAGACCAAACCCUGAAAACUUGACAAUUUCCCUCUUACCAAGACCCAAAGGACAGAAGCUAAUGUAGAAAUUUUGAUAGCUAGUGAAAAAGAAAAGGUUCUAUAGAUUUUUGUCUCACAAGCACAAUCCCCAUCUUUUCUUCUCCUGAGAAGGUUAAUUAGAUACUUUCCUUUACUCUUAGAAUAAAGAGAACUAAGGAGGUUUUAAAUUCAUAAAUGUAUUUUUUUGUUUAUUUGUUUGGUGUAUUUUUCCCUCUCAUUCUUUCUCCUCUGCAGAACACAACUAGUAAAUGAUUGGAUCUUUGACAGAACAAAGGUAUUUUUGAUGGGCUCUGUAAUCUAGUGCGCUAAUGCGCCCAGUCCCCUCAUUGUCUUGCUGUCUGAUCCCAUCCCUUCUGCCAGACAGUCACUGCGGGAUGAGUCACUUUUAAUGUCUGAUAAUCAAGGUGAAUUUUCAAAAAGCUGCCAUUUUGGAAUUAUGCACUAUAUCACGGUGUCAGGGAGGAGAAGAGAAGGAAGGAUGAAGGGAAGGCUAAGAUAGACACCUACUGCACAUUGAGAGAACUGCAGGACACAACCAGCACCGUGCCAGACAAGAUGUGUCCGGAGGGUCCAAGUCGAUCAAGGCAUACAUAAUGAGAAGGAGACUAUGUUAAUUAUAAAUUAAAAAUAACUUCUAUGAUAAUGAAGAUUAUAUGCACAGGAGGAAAUGUCUUAGUUAAAACAGACUGGAGGGAUGCAAUUAAACACCAGCCAUUUGGGGGUAUGAAUUCUGUACCUACUGAAUAUAUUGUGGUCCAUUAAAUAACCUAAUACAAACUUACAUUUGAAAAAGAAUAGAAGUGAACUGUGGCUGUCUCCAUGGAUGCUGAAUUGUCUGCCAUCCUUAUUUAAAGCAACACAAGCGAAGGGAUGUUACUUAGUAGAUGAAAACAGCCUUCCUUCAACUAGGGAGACUGGUUAUUUCUGGAAUCAUUUAAAGAACUGAACCCACCCCCAUGAAGUAGAGAGGGAGAUACUGGAAACCCUCGGUAAACAAAGGCCAAUCAAAUAUUCUUGCAAGGCUUUGGCUGUUCAAAUAUAUGGCAGUCAGUGUCUUCUCUAAGGUAAUUAACUGAACCCACUGUUAGGUAUGAUGGCUUUGAAAUUUUUUUAAUUAUUGGCAUUAUAUUAAAUAGUAGGGUAGCUGAAGGAAAAUGACAUAAUAUGAGAAUAGCCUGCUACUUUUGUUUAUUAUUCAGAGAAGUGAACACCUAUAAAUAGAACCAGGAUGUUUUGACUAGGGAAAUGCUAUCCUCAUUACAGCUGGGAGAUGCUGGAGUGAUUUAAAGCCAAAGCUUCAAAGCUUUGUCCUGCUGUAUAAAAGCAUGAGGGUUUUCAUGGCUGUUUCAGUGGUCGGUGAGAGCCUGCAGGUGCUUUAUCUGUCCUGGAGGAGGGAGGAGAGCCAUUUCUGAGAGUGCUAUUUUGUAACCAUGAUGAGUACUUACAUAUUCCUCCAAGAGGUAUUUAAAUACCUACAUAUCUUCUUUAACAUAAGUUAUGUUUACAGAUUAUUACACCUUCAUAUUGUCUACCAAGGUUAAGUAGUCCCUCCUCCCCUUAACCCCCUCCACCUGCACCUUUGCCACUCUCUCUCUCUCUCUCUUGCACGCUCUCCCUGUCUCUCUCUCUCUCUCUCUCACACACACACCACC
rnacentral:lncRNA from 1 species